UACGGGGGGGGCAAGCGUUGUUCGGAAUUACUGGGCGUAAAGGGCUCGUGGGCGGCCAACUAAGUCGGAUGUGAAAUCCCCAGGCUCAACCUGGGAACUGCAUCCGAUACUGGAUGGCUUGAAUUCGGGAGAGGGAUGCAGAAUUCCAGGUGUAGCGGUGAAAUGCGUAGAUAUCUGGAGGAAUACCGGUGGCGAAGGCGGCAUCCUGGACCGACAUUGACGCUGAGGAGCGAAAGCCAGGGGAGCAAACGGG
rnacentral:rRNA from 1 species